rnacentral:rRNA from 1 species
UACGUAGGGUCCGAGCGUUGUCCGGAAUUAUUGGGCGUAAAGGGCUCGUAGGCGGUUUGUCGCGUCGGGAGUGAAAACACGGGGCUUAACCCCGUGCCUGCUUCCGAUACGGGCAGACUAGAGGUAUGCAGGGGAGAACGGAAUUCCUGGUGUAGCGGUGAAAUGCGCAGAUAUCAGGAAGAACACCCGUGGCUAAGGCGGCUCUCUAGUACGGUACUGACGCUGAGACGCGAAAGCGUGGGGAGCGAACAGG